rnacentral:misc_RNA from 1 species
GAUGAAGAACGUAGCGAAAUGCGAUAAGUAAUGUGAAUUGCAGAAUUCAGUGAAUCAUCGAAUCUUUGAACGCACAUUGCGCCCCCUGGUAUUCCGGGGGGCAUGUCUGUUCGAGCGUCAUUUCACCACUCAAGCCUCGCUUGGUAUUGGGCGACGCGGUCCGCCGCGCGCCUCAAAUCGACCGGCUGGGUCUUCCGUCCCCUCAGCGUUGUGGAAACUAUUCGCUAAAGGGUGCCGCGGGAGGUCACGCCGCAAAACAACCCCAUUUCUAAGGUUGACCUCGGAUCAGGUAGGGAUACCCGCUGAACUUAAGCAUAUCAAUAAGCGGAGGA